UUCUAACAAAAUACCUUUUACAAUGUUGUUUUCUUCCGGCAAAAUACUUUGGAUGCUUUGACGUAUUGUUUUGUCAAAACUUAGCAAACUGGAAGGUAGGCGGUCGUUUUGAUAAGAAGGUCCCAUGCUAGCACCACGAUCAUUGGAUUCUUGUUUUUCUGUUGUUGAGAAAAUAGUUUUGACCUGUCGACUCACUGUUUCAUUGAAGGAGAUCAAACUGGAAGGUAGGCGGUCGUUUUGAUAAGAAGGUCCCAUGCUAGCACCACGAUCAUUGGAUUCUUGUUUUUCUGUUGUUGAGAAAAUAGUUUUGACCUGUCGACUCACUGUUUCAUCGAAGGAGAUCAAACUGGAAGGUAGGCGGUCGUUUUGAUAAGAAGGUCCCAUGCUAGCACCACGAUCAUUGGAUUCUUGUUUUUCUGUUUUUGACAAAAUAGUUUUGACAUGUCGAUUCAUUGUUUCAUCGAAGGAGAUCAAACUGGAAGGUAGGCGGUUGUGUUGAUAGGAACUCAUGCUAGUACCAUGAUCAUUGGAUCCUUGUGGCACCU
rnacentral:lncRNA from 1 species